AGUGAACGCUGGCGGCAGGCCUAAUACAUGCAAGUCGAACGGCAGCACAGCAGAGCUUGCUCUGUGGGUGGCGAGUGGCGGACGGGUGAGGAAUACAUGGGAAUCUGCCCAGUCGUGGGGGAUAACGUAGGGAAACUUACGCUAAUACCGCAUGCGCCCUUCGGGGGAAAGCCGGGGACCUUCGGGCCUGGCGCGAUUGGAUGAGCCCAUGUCGGAUUAGCUAGUUGGCGGGGUAAAGGCCCACCAAGGCGACGAUCCGUAGCUGGUCUGAGAGGAUGAUCAGCCACACUGGAACUGAGACACGGUCCAGACUCCUACGGGAGGCAGCAGUAGGGAAUAUUGGACAAUGGGCGCAAGCCUGAUCCAGCCAUGCCGCGUGAGUGAAGAAGGCCCUCGGGUUGUAAAGCUCUUUGUCCGGAAAGAAAGCGCCGGGUUAAUACCCUAGGUGUCCUGACGGUACCGGAAGAAUAAGCACCGGCUAACUUCGUGCCAGCAGCC
rnacentral:rRNA from 1 species